rnacentral:misc_RNA from 1 species
GUUCUCCAAGAAUGUAUUCUUUUGCUUUGGGAUUCUGACAAAGCGCAGAGAAAUCCCCACUUAUCCCAUUAUCUUCAGCCCAACGCUCAAGAGCUCGUUGAUUGGGAUUGACAACAGCAACAAGGUAAGACUCGAAGCUAUUGCCAUAUAUCCAUAUCGAGUCUAUAUCAGGAACAAGCCCAUAUAUGUUCUCCAGAUUUUCAACUGCAACAUACUCUCCUUGUGAUAGCUUAAAUAUGUUUUUCUUCCGAUCGAUUAUCCUCAAACU